rnacentral:rRNA from 1 species
CGCUCAACGGUUAAGCUUUCAGGGGAAUACUGCUUGGGCUGGGGCCCGGGAGAGGUCAGAGGUACUUCAAGGGUAGGGGUGAAAUCCGUUAAUCCUUGAGGGACCACCAGUAGCGAAGGCGUCUGACCAGACCGGGUCCGACGGUGAGGGACGGAGGCUAGGGUCGCGAACCGGAUUAGAUACCCGGGUAGUCCUAGCUGUAAACGAUGCGGGCCAGGUGUUGGCAUUACUGCGAGUGAUGUCAGUGCCGAAGGGAAGCCGUUAAGCCCGCCAUCUGGGGAGUACGGUCGCAAGGCUGAAACUUAAAGGAAUG